rnacentral:rRNA from 1 species
AAAUUGAAGAGUUUGAUCAUGGCUCAGAUUGAACGCUGGCGGCAGGCCUAACACAUGCAAGUCGAACGGUAACAGGAAGAAGCUUGCUUCUUUGCUGACGAGUGGCGGACGGGUGAGUAAUGUCUGGGAAACUGCCUGAUGGAGGGGGAUAACUACUGGAAACGGUAGCUAAUACCGCAUAACGUCGCAAGACCAAAGAGGGGGACCUUAGGGCCUCUUGCCAUCGGAUGUGCCCAGAUGGGAUUAGCUAGUAGGUGGGGUAACGGCUCACCUAGGCGACGAUCCCUAGCUGGUCUGAGAGGAUGACCAGCCACACUGGAACUGAGAUACGGUCCAGACUCCUACGGGAGGCAGCAGUGGGGAAUAUUGCACAAUGGGCGCAAGCCUGAUGCAGCCAUGCCGCGUGUAUGAAGAAGGCCUUCGGGUUGUAAAGUACUUUCAGCGGGGAGGAAGGGAGUAAAGUUAAUACCUUUGCUCAUUGACGUUACCCGCAGAAGAAGCACCGGCUAACUCCGUGCCAGCAGCCGCGGUAAUACGGAGGGUGCAAGCGUUAAUCGGAAUUACUGGGCGUAAAGCGCACGCAGGCGGUUUGUUAAGUCAGAUGUGAAAUCCCCGGGCUCAACCUGGGAACUGCAUCUGAUACUGGCAAGCUUGAGUCUCGUAGAGGGGGUAGAAUUCCAGGUGUAGCGGUGAAAUGCGUAGAGAUCUGGAGGAAUACCGGUGGCGAAGGCGGCCCCUGGACGAAGACUGACGCUCAGGUGCGAAAGCGUGGGGAGCAAACAGGAUUAGAUACCCUGGUAGUCCACGCCGUAAACGAUGUCGACUUGGAGGUUGUGCCCUUGAGGCGUGGCUUCCGGAGCUAACGCGUUAAGUCGACCGCCUGGGGAGUACGGCCGCAAGGUUAAAACUCAAAUGAAUUGACGGGGGCCCGCACAAGCGGUGGAGCAUGUGGUUUAAUUCGAUGCAACGCGAAGAACCUUACCUGGUCUUGACAUCCACGGAAGUUUUCAGAGAUGAGAAUGUGCCUUCGGGAACCGUGAGACAGGUGCUGCAUGGCUGUCGUCAGCUCGUGUUGUGAAAUGUUGGGUUAAGUCCCGCAACGAGCGCAACCCUUAUCCUUUGUUGCCAGCGGUCCGGCCGGGAACUCAAAGGAGACUGCCAGUGAUAAACUGGAGGAAGGUGGGGAUGACGUCAAGUCAUCAUGGCCCUUACGACCAGGGCUACACACGUGCUACAAUGGCGCAUACAAAGAGAAGCGACCUCGCGAGAGCAAGCGGACCUCAUAAAGUGCGUCGUAGUCCGGAUUGGAGUCUGCAACUCGACUCCAUGAAGUCGGAAUCGCUAGUAAUCGUGGAUCAGAAUGCCACGGUGAAUACGUUCCCGGGCCUUGUACACACCGCCCGUCACACCAUGGGAGUGGGUUGCAAAAGAAGUAGGUAGCUUAACCUUCGGGAGGGCGCUUACCACUUUGUGAUUCAUGACUGGGGUGAAGUCGUAACAAGGUAACCGUAGGGGAACCUGCGGUUGGAUCACCUCCUUA